rnacentral:misc_RNA from 1 species
GUACACCUUACGAAGAGUAACCUCAGUUAGUCCAGUCACCUUACAUAUUUCAGCCUGGGUCUUCCGCUUGUCCUCUAGUUGACAUGCCAAAUAUAUAGCAGCAGCAGAGAUGCUAAUUGGAUUCCUUCUAGUGCAAAAGCAUUUAUUGAUGAUUACUUCACCAAUGUGAGUCGCCAGCUCCUGAGCAGAUUUAUUCAGCUGAAGGAGUGUACAAAACCUUGGCAUAUGGACUGAUAUAGAAUUACUAUUGAUAGGUUGACUGAGUUGUAACGCUUCUCCAAGAAUCUUUAUGUACUUCCCGAUUUCCUUCUGAGGUAAAUUGGCCGCAACUGAUAUUUCCUGGAGAGUUCUCGGCUCUUGGGCUUCCCUGAUAGCGUGCACAAGAGCAGCAGUAGCAAGCGCUUCAACACUCCGAUUCCUUAAGCAAGUUGCUGAAGAACAAUCCCUGAAGAGCUGAAACGCGUGGUCCGAAAUAUCAGAAUCCAGUCGCAGAAUAGAAGCCACAUCAAUAAUCUGCAAAUAAGCCCGGAGAUUUUCCACCACGACAGAAGAAGAGGACGAACUGGAGGAAGUUGACGUCAUUUCGAGGACCCGCUCGAGCUCUGCAAGGUGACCGGCGAAUGAAAUGGAGGAUUGGGCAAAUACUGGGUAGGGUUCGAGAGACCAAGUAGAGAAAGUGGUGAUGAAACCAGUGGGUUCAAAUGGGUCUUCAUCGUCGUUAGUGGCGGAGAUGGGAAGAGUGGGGAGAUCAGAAGUAGCCAGGCACAGAGGAGAAUCUUGGGCACGGGUAUGAAAAAGAUGGUGGGAUUGGGUUAAUCGCUCCUCCACUACCCGGCCGCAGGAUGUGCACUCGGUUAUCGGUCUGCCACUGGUGCUGCUGGUACACCGCCCUUGCUCCGCCGAGCAGUACGGACACCGCAUUUUUCUGAUUUCAACUAGCUAGGCGUGGGGAAUUGCAGUACUGCUCCUGCUGGACCCAAUUAUUUGUAGAACAGUUUUGGUAAC